AUAUAUCAUACUCCAAUUUCACCAAUAUCAUAAACUCUAACUAAAAUCUUAAAACUAAUAAUUUUUAUUAAUUAAUUUCAAAUUUUAAAUUGUUUAUAAAGUAAAAUUCAAAAAGUAAAUAUAAAGAAACAUAUUAAUGUACAGAAAACAUAACAAAACCCUAAAACAGUUUAAUUAUAAAUUUGCAAGGAAAUUGCAAUGGUUCUCUCGCAAAUCUAUUGCAAAUUUGCAAGGAAUUAAGUUCCGUCGCAAUUUCCAGAACUAGGGUUCGUAUAUAAUUACAUAAACCUAAUGCUCUUCAUUUGUUCGAGCCGUCAAGAAAAAAACCAAUUUUUUUUUUAAUCUUUUCUCUCCUCUCGCUGGACCUCUCUCUGGUCGCCUCCUCUCCUCAAGCCGGAUCUCUCUCGCUCUCCCGUGUUUGCUCUCUCAUGCUUACCUCCAUGGCUCCUCUCCGACCACACCACCAGAUCUCUACUCGCCGACGGCUCUCCUCUCUUCUCACACCGCCGGAUCUCCUCUUUCUCUCUCACGCCGGCUCACCUCUCUCUGUCUUUCACACCAAUGAACGUUACUCCACAAAGCUCGUGCUCAGCGUCCCACCACCACCACGGAAUGUAGAAGCAGUCACCAAACCACCACACCACGGUUAGAUUUGAUUUCUUUCAUUUGGUAAAGGAAGUUGAAGGAUGGAGAAGAAGCUUGAUGGUUGAAGAGAUAAGGGGAGCCGUGGUCGCAGGGGUGGUGGUGCGGCUGGUGGUGCGGCGAAGGAGGCCAGAAGCGGAGGAGUCAUGGAGGCGGCUCUUUCAUUUUAGGGUUCGAGAUUCUUUUAGAAUUAGAAUUGAUUAAGUUUAGUUAGCUUUAAUCCGGUUUAAUCAACUAAACUGGUUUAAUUAACUAAACCGGCUUGUUGUAAAUUAACUUUUGUUUUAAGAUUUUUAUAUAUUCAUGUAUUUACAUUUAUCUAAAUGUAUCAGUUUAAUAUAUAUUAUAUAAUUUAUUUGUAA